rnacentral:sRNA from 1 species
AUCUAGCCCCGAUAGCAGCGGCAUCCUUUUGUUCCGACUUUUUUCGGGACAAAAGAUACAGCGGAUAGCGGGAUUAGCU